GUGAUAUAAUGAUAAUUAUUACUUUAGUUGCCUGGUAAACAAGUGUGGUCAAGUUUCUCCGGUCCAGGCAUCGUGUAGCCUCCAUACUUUUUAUCGUUUAUGGUAAAAAAAAAAAAAAAAAUUGAUCUGUUGCUUUAAUGUUUCCACGUGUAUUAUUAUUAUCAUGAAUUGAAAUAAUCAUAUUGACUGCUGAACAAACUCAGUGGAUUAGGUUAAGAUUAUGUCCCAGGCCCCUCCGGGUUGUACCAUCUUCGCUGUGGUGGUGGGCGUGUUCGAACAGCGGAUCGCUUCAGUGAUCUCGACAUUAAACUCAGUUAUUUCUCGACUGUCGAGGUUAACGCGAGAUUCCUCCGACUGUCAACAAAGAAAUCCCCGUGUAGCAUUUAAGCUAGCUGCUCCAUCCUCCAGUUUAAGACACGCAGAACGAGUGGGACUUUAACGCACAGCGGUGCUUCUGCGUGGAGAGAAAGAAAAAAAGCCUCCACUUCCCUCAACGUGACAUUCACCGAUGUCCACGUUUUCAUGCCGGACCGUCGUUAUCUGCUGGUCUGCGUCUGCACCGAGAUGAAUGGCAUCAUGUCGGGAUGACAGGAAGAUGGCAAACGGGGUUGGAAAACACAAGCCGCAUGUCAUCGGACCAACGGAGCCAUGGUCAGUGAGGGAGAAGCUGUGUUUGGCCACAUCUGUCAUGAAGAGCGGACACCAGAACUGGGUAUCUGUCAGUCGAGCCAUCAAACCAUUUGCAGAACCUGGGCGGCCACCUGACUGGUUCUCUCAGAAGCACUGCGCCUCAAAGUACUCUGAGCUCCUGGAAGCAACAGACGCCCCAAAGAGGAAGCGUGGUGAGAAAGGUGAAGUGGUGGAGACGGUGGAGGAUGUGAUAGUGCGCAGGCUGACGACUGACAGGAUCGCUGAACUAAAAAAGCUAAUCAAAGAAACUCAGGAGAAGCACAGGAAGCUGAAGAGAGAGGCUGAGCUGAUUCAAGCAGGACAUCUAGAUUCCAAACUAGAAGAGCUAUGGGAGGAAAUACGGCAGAAGAAGAAAGUGGAGGAGGAAGACGCAGAGUUGAAAAGAAAAAACACAGAUGCUGCUUAUCAGGGUAUCUCCUUCACGUUGAAGGCCAGACAGGUGGCAAAGGGCACAACCAAGCGAGUGCCCGACGUGUAUUCGCCCUCAGGCUGCGGCUCCCCAAGCCAGGAGUUCUCACCAGGUGACCCCCUCGAGAGCUUGACUCUGGAUCUUGGAUCUAUUAAAAAUGCUUCGGGAUCGGCCAGGUUCAUGACAUUUUCAGAGUCUUCUGGACUUGGUAUUGAAGACAUCAACCAGGCGUCACUUCUGGACGACCUCACCCAAAAGAAACUCCUGUGCCAGAAAGCCACACCACCGCCGUCUCCACUCCUGUCAGAGUUACUGAAGAAAGGCAACAUCUUGGCCUCUAAUUCCAGACUGAUUGGUGAUGGUGACGUGUCCUCUGGUAAUAUGAUCGCAGCACAUGACUUGCAGCUGGCUCUGCCGAGUCAACCUCUCUCUCAGGCAACAGGUGCCCCGAUGUUGUCUCGUCUCUUGGAGGCGGGUCCCACGCAGUUAUCUGCUCCAUUAAGUUUCAUGGUCGGCACCAACUCCGUCUCCAGCGCUCCUCUAUCGGCUGCCUCUCUUCUUCCUGUUGACUCCACAGCCUCAGCGAGUACAGAGGACAAAGGGUCAGGUCUCUGUGAGGAAGACGAGACAGUGUCCUACAUGGGAGAUGAGCUGGACCUCAAGACUGUGGGGGACAUUAUUGCCAUCAUUGAAGACAAGGCCGAUGAAGCUGCUGAUGCUUUGGAUGCUGCUGCAGUCGAGGCUGCUCUGUCCCUGUGUGAGGAGAAUGGCCACGCUCUGGUGUCUGGUGCCUGGGAAGCUGGGCCUUUCCAACCCCAUGACUCCCACCACAUAGUGCCCACAGGGGUUCCACAGGCAUCAUCUCUUCUCUGUAGCCUGGAGGGGAAGACAGACGUGUCAGAAGUCCAAGAUGAGACUUCAGCUUCACUCUCUUCUCUGUGCAACACUCAAAAUCACUGUCUCUCAGUGUUCCCCAUGGGAUUAAGAAGUGUUCCUCUCAGCUGCUCGUCCUCAUUCAACUCGAAGAGUUUGGAGCACUGCCCCGCUGGAGCACCUCCAAGGCCUGAGGCCAUGAGAGAAACUGGAAAGAUGAUGCACACGAAAAGCCAAAUGACCUCGGAUGUUGCCAUAAAACGUGAGAGUGAGAAGUGGGCACAGCUAAGACCUAAUAAAGCACAUAGAGAAUUGGUAUUAGAAGAUAGACCACUGACAGAAAGGCAUCCAAAGGUGAUGAAGGCAGAGAAUGGAAUCAGUGGUGGGCGAGGAGAGAGUGCCUCAAGGUCUAGAGAGGACAAUGAGAUCAACGGGCCAGACGUGGGCGGAGAGGAGGAGGGCGAUGGGGUCGAGGGAUUCUUGUCAGAGCCGGACGGCGACAUGGAUCUCGAGCCCGCGGCCAGUGAGAGUGAGGACGGAUACAGCCUCCACACAGCGUCCUCAUCUCUGCAGCUCCACACGACUGCAGACUCCAUCCCCAGCAGCCCGGCCUCAUCGCAGUUUUCUGUGUGCAGCGAGGACCUAGAAGCACUACAGGCUCACAAGAUCUGGAAGAAAGCCAUUAUGCUGGUGUGGCGUGCAGCAGCCAAUCACAGGUACGCUAAUGUCUUCCUGCAGCCAGUAACAGAUGAUAUUGCACCUGGAUAUCACAGUAUUGUGCAAAGGCCCAUGGACCUGGCCACCAUCAAAAAAAACAUAGAGACUGGUUUGAUCCGGACGACCGCCGAGUUCCAGAGGGAAAUCAUGCUGAUGUUUCAGAACGCUGUGAUGUACAACAGCCUGGAUCACGACGUGUACCACAUGGCGCUGGAGAUGCAGCGCGACGUCCUGGAGCAGAUUCAGCAGUUUCUAGCCACCCAGCUCAUCAUGGAGACGUCAGAGGCGGGUAUCAGCGCCAAGAGUCUGAGGGGCCGUGAGAGCACACGCAAACAGGACUCGACUGACAAGGUGCUUCACUAGAAUUUUGACAAAAGCAGAGAGUACAGAAGAAGAGACAAGGGACACUGUCUCCAUGUCUUCUCCUGCCUUCCUCCUUUCUCUUUUUGAUGGAGGCACCAGGGGGCGCCGUUGUGCCAUAGAAGCUGACCUCAAGAUGAAGAAAUGAACGUUGAGUAUGAACAUUUUGCCUGUGCAUCCGUGCGUCGGACUGAAAGGUGUGAUACCGUAAGACUGAACUUUAUCCUCUGACAGUUGCACAGAUUCUCACUCUGCAUAAUGUGCAGUGUGACCUUUAUUUGCACUCUUGAUUAUAUGGGUAGACUGAAAUGUGGAGAAGAUCCUUUACUCUGAGACAGCCAUAAAGACAUGGAUUACAUACUGUGUAAUCCCAGAUUACAAUGGGACGUUCAGAAAGACUAGGUCAAACCCUCCGUAGACGUAGCUACAGAUCACUCAGACUUAGCCUGCUUUGAAUUUCAUCAGGUUACAUAAGCGAAGAAGGAAAGUUCCUCCUCGUCUCCAAGUGAGCUGAAAAUAAAUCUGCAGGAGGAGGCCUGGUUCGACUCCAGAUCAGUGUGCUUGAUUUUGAUCUCAUGUAAAACCAGAGGCCAAAGACUCUCAUUAAUCUAAUUUCUGAUCAGUCUGAGCCCUGAAGGGUUUCAAAUAUAAACACUUUCAUUGCUCUUAUAAAAUAUUUUCCUUUUUAAUUUUAAAACUUCAAAAUGUUUGUGAUGAGUUGAUUUUAUUUGUGGUACACUUCCUGUGAAACGGUACCUCCAUGCAUUCUCUCGUUGUUUACAGUGUUUUUGAAAAAGAAAAAAAUUAACUGUCAUGUUAAGAAUCUGUUUUGUGAACUUUCAAAUGUUGAAACAAUAAAAACUGUAUUAAGUGCCCCGAAUCUACGAUGUUACGCUUGAAUUGGAUUUAAAAAAGUCCACAGUGCCAACUCAAAAAACCCCCCCACACCACUGCAGUAACUUGCAAUUUAACUUUGAUGUUUAAGAAAUGUUUUUUUGUGCAAAAAUUCCUUUGGGGAGUCUGAGUUUUUAUAUCUAUUUUUUAAAAUGUGUCUGAUUUGCCUAAUUUGUGAUCAGUUUACUGUACGUCAAUGGGGGAGCAGAUUUUCCUCUGGGUUGGGUUUGGGAGUUUUUUAUCUGUAUUGCACAAAACUGUUCAGUUACAUGAGCAUUGCAAGAAAAAUAAGUUACAUCUGUUGUUUCAUAUACCUUUUCUUUUUUAAACUGUUGUUACUCAGUACUGUGGUUGUACAAAGAGGAGACAGCACCUUCCACAAAGCUGCCACUCUGGUGUUAUAACAAAGGACUUGUCCAUAUUAGGUUUUGUUUCAUCAUGUUCAGUCGGGCAUGCACUGGAUAACUAGAACAGCAAGUCAAAGUGCUCUCCAGAAUGAAGGCGUACAUGUUUCCAUAGAACCACGGGACUUACUACAAGAUGCAAACAUCUUGUUCACCUUAAAUACAGAAAACAUUUUUACAAAGGAACCAGUGAAGUUGUGGGAAAAUUAAUGGUAUCAAAAUCAUGCUUCUCUAUAGGGAGAGAGGAAAGUGGAGAAACCCCAAUGCCACUCAUCUCUUUUGCAAGGUGGUAGUUUUAAAAAUGCACCAAAAUUUCUUGAGCCAAAUUUCAUCAUCCAGCAGGUAAACAAUCUUAAUAUGGCCGAAGAAAACCAAGAACUUUUCAGGCUGAGGUGACGUAAAGUCAGUCAUUGACCUGAUCUUAGUCAGAUUCCACUUACUGAGGACUAGGCAGUGAAGCUCUGGGAGAAAAUCAACAGGGAGGGCAACGUCAACUGUCUGUGGGUCAAGGUCUUAAGGAUUUAGGAAGUAUGAUGAUCUUGUUUGACUUUACGUGCACCUGUCUGGUUACUUUUGAACCCCAAAACUUAGGGCACUAUGUGUUGAGAGGCCUCAAUCUCCCUCUGAUUCCAGUUUAUAAUGUCAACCAAUUGACAUUAAAGUUGAGACUUGACUUUUGCAGUAUCUAUUAUUUUACUUCAAUUCUGAAUGUGCUGAAGCUCGCUCUGAAAAACGAAAUGUGUAGCUGUCAGACAGUUUCACAUACUGUUCAGAUGCCCGUGUCACCUGUAUAUUUAAUUUACCUGCUCAAUAAUGUGACCAGACACAUUAGACACUGUGACAAACCAACCAUAGAAUCACACAUGAACAAGUCAAAGCAUCUUCUGGAUACACGUUUAAUUUUCUGGUACUUUUGGUUGAAGUGUACAACCACACUGACUGAUACCAAAACCUGAUCUGUGUGUGUGUAUUACAGUUACAGUUUGACAUGUCUGUAAGUUAGUGGCCCUGAAUACUCUUUUAGUAACAUUUAGUGUCAGUAGUCAUGAGUGUGUUCACUGAAACAAAACAAAAAAAUAUGCAACUAGUAACACUCUCUCACAAGGAUGCAUGCAACAGUAGUGACAUGGAACACAAGAGUAAAUAUGAACGUAAAAGUGCUUGAGGUGAACCUGAAUCUUUCACAAAUACGACAACAGCUAAGGCAGUUUGGCAGUCGUAGUGCACAGCGACGAGUAUUCAUGUCUGUUGAGGGUUUGAUUUAAAGAAUUAAAGUUAACUUCUCAAAGUUAGUGUCCUACUCAUGACAAGACGAGUAAAAGUCACAGUUCUGUUUCCUA